AGUGUGUGUGCCAGUGGUGUUAACAAGACUAAUAGUGGAAUUUGGUCCUUAACAAUGCCAUUAUUUAAGUUGAAGUGUUUAUUAACUCACCAAAAUUUAAUGUACUGUUAAAGGAAACUGGCUUCUGAUGCAUGAACAUUUGUAUGUACACUGAAAGUAAUCCCUAAUACAAGUUAGAUAAACCAAGCAUAGACAGUAUGUACCCCUGAGAAGUGUUGAUGACUUAUGAGGCAGGUUAUUCCAAGCUCCAUCUAAACCUAGUAUGUGAUGGUUUUUGAGAAUCAUAUUUCGCCUGUAGAUUGAUGGCAAAAUAGGCUACUCUAUUAAUGGCAGCACUCAUUUUUAGCUGCUAAUCUAAGAAAGAAAACUGGCCAAUUUUCAUGUAAAUAUUGUUUAAAGAUAUAUAUAUGUAUAUCUCUAGGAGUUUUCCCUUGGUUCCCACUAUCUAGUCCAGUAGGUUAACCAAAGAACCUCCCAUGGAUCUCUUAACUCUAGGGAGCCUACUGAUGACUCAGUGUACCGAGGGGAAAUCCAUGAAGAGUCAUGAGCCAGGUUCUUUACUUCACUGGUCAUAAAUGAUGAGAGUAGCUCUGAGGAAUCCGAACACCAUGGUGAAAACUCUGUAAACAUGAAAUCUAAAUCAAAUGUAGAUUUUUUCACAAUAUGCUUAUUAAUAAAUGAAAUUUAUGAAACGAA
rnacentral:lncRNA from 1 species